rnacentral:ncRNA from 1 species
UCUGACUGUCUUGUUUAAACAAAGCAUUGCGAUGUCUGCUGAUCGGUUUUGACAAAGUGAUUUCUGCCCAGUGCUCUGAAUUUCAAAGUGAAGAAAUUCAAACAUGCGUUGGUAAACGGCGGGAGUUACUAUGAAUCUUUUAAAGGGAAGAGUCAGCGUUCCCCUUUCCUGGGCCAAAGGUGCUAUCAUAAGGGCAUGGUUGGCACGGAUAGCCUUCUCGUGGCGCUCAGGGUGUCAAGAAGA